CCAAAGUGCUGGGAUUACAGGUGUGAGCCACCAUGCCUGGCCCAGCAACUACUCUUAACUUUACACUAGUUUUCUUCUUAUAGCUGCUUACUCUUAUACUUAAAAAUCUGUAGUCUGCAUAUUUCCGAGAAACCAGUCGAAACCAAAACCACUUUUCCCAGCCUCAAAGAUAUUAAAUAGAGGAGCUCUGAUUUUAACCCA
rnacentral:lncRNA from 1 species